rnacentral:lncRNA from 1 species
UUUUUUUUUUUUUUUUUUUUUGUAUUCCCAGGCUAGGGGGUUGAAUCAGAGCUACAGCUAUGGGCCCACACCACAGCCACAAGCACCACCAGAUCUGAGCCUCAUCUGCAACCUACACUGCAGCUCACAGCAACACCAGAUCCUUAACCCACUGAGCAAGGCCAGGGAUUGAACCCGUGUCCUCAUGGAUACUAGUCAGAUUUGUUACAGCUAAGCCACAAGGGAACUUCCAGCUGAUCAUAUAUUAAAAGAGGGGAGGUCCUCUUUUAUCUGAGAUCAUCUUCCCAAAUGUUGAGAGAAGAACAAAAUAUUUGAAAAUGUUUGCCAGCUUGGGGUCUAUUUUUCUCUAAGUUCUUCCUAGUUUUUCCUUCUUUCCUUCUGCUCCUUGAAUGAUUAAUAGAAGCCACCUCGUCAUAGGAAAAAGCCUGUGUGAGCAUUAUGUGGUAAGGAGCUGCUCUUCUGACCUCUCUAGGUCCCAGAAUCCUGAUUUCAAUUUUUGAUGGUUUCUAUUCUAUUCAAGGAGUCUGCUUUAAUCAUUUCUCAAAAGAUUCCUUAACUUGGAAUCCUGUAGAGACAAUGGGUAACUAAAAAGUCCUGAAGCCACACAGGAAUAAACAAUAACUGAAGUGUAUCUGUUCACUACCUAGUCUUUAUUCUUACACAGGCACAUGGUUAUAUGUGGCUGUGGUGAAUGGAUAUUUAAUUUUGGAACUUUCUCCCCCACUAUGGUAAUAACAGGUGGUGUAUAUUGACAAUUCUGAGGUACAUUUGCGUGUAGUGUCAGGACAUGUAAGGAGAGAAGGGACACACCUCUUAGUCCCAUUUUAAAGAUGAGAAAAUUGAAGUUAUCAGAUUUACUUUGCUGAAGGUCUGAAGUGAUUCAAAGCAAGGAACAAAUUUUAAAUGUCCUUCUCAAAGCUCUAGCCUCUAAACAAAGUAAAUGAAUGAAUGCCCCUUUCCAGCUGGUACGGAGAGUCUCCAGGGUUUAGGAAUUGGAAAUUUGCUUUAAAAAUUAGAAAGCAGAAAUCCUUUGAAAAUAUAGUCACAGCUCACUAAUUUAUGUGUGUCCCCCCAUUUCAGUCACCUCAAGAGCCUGAGAUUGUUAGAACCACUUAGCCUUACUUGGCAGUGUUCACCCAUAAGAAUGGGGGCCCUGGCAGUCUUUCUGACAAGCCAAGGCAUAGAUGUGUGUCUGCUGACAUGAAAAGGACCCUCUGUGAAAUGUAUUUAAUACUUAGCAUUUCAUUAAAUUGUCUUGAAUACUCUUUCUCUAUCUCUCUCUUCUUUCCCAGUCAUAUCCCUUUUAAAAAAAAAAAUCAAGGCCACCUUCCAGAGCUGCUACCAGUGCCAUAUUUCGUAAUUUUAAAUGAGUUUUCUGCUGUAAUUUAAAAGAUAACUCAUUCCUAUUUCCAACAUUUAAUGUAUUUUCUUUUUUCUGAAAGCAAUAUACGUGUGUAAUUAAUAAACAAUUUAGUAUGUUGAGGAACCUAGGAACUUGGCAAAUGUUCUGGGGAUAUGAAAUCUCAAGAAAAGCAGCACAUUAUAAGAAAUAGUAAGUAAUUACUUAUGUAAGCUUUCUUUUUAAAUUCUAAGAACAUUAACUACUAAUUACCUACUAAUUACCAGUACUUCCGCAGGUGUUUGCACUUAACUGUAGGCUAAAGCCCCUGUGAAAAACAACCCCUCACAGCCUCUCUCAAGAUCAAAGCUGAAUCCCACUGGACCUCAACAGUUUCGGCAAAACUGGUUACAAGCCAACUCAUUCACCACUUGGCUGUGUAAGGUGAAAAAGUAAAUGCGCGUUUGCCAGCUUGCCUUUCUCUUUUUGCUCAAACGCCGUCAUCAUCAACUAGCGAGAAGGACUGGCUGGAAGGGCAAUGUCAAGGUACAUAGAGUUAAAGUCAAACUACGAUCAAGAGGUCUUUAUACAUCUGUCUCAUGCCCACUGGCUGAAGCAGCCCUCUCCUGUAAAGGUGCAUCAUCUAGCAACCCGCAUUACAUUUCUGGAAUUUACAAGGAGUGUGUGUUUCUCUCACUGCUUUCCAUUCUCUUUAUCUGCACAUGAAAAUGAUCUUUAAGAUCCUUUCCAGUUACAAAGUAUGGGAUUCUCUGAUCCUUCCCUCAGAGUUUUAGAACUCAAGCCGCAUGACAUUCACCAAAGACCCAGGAUUGCUCCCCAUUCAGAAGGUCGCCACCUGGAGAACACCGUUUCCCAAAGCCAUGGACAAGGUCACUGCGUGUCUCACAAGAGCUAACGGCUUCUUCUUUAGGACGCCUCAGUCAUACAAGCUCCAUCCUUUGUUGAUACCAAGAAGGGAUCAGAAACACAAAGCUGAUGUCUGAUAGCACAAACCCACCUUGGAUCUACUCUUAGGCAGCCAGUGCUGCUCAGGACACGUUCUAAAACAACCCAUUUCUCUCACUAGUCUCUCCUUUUGUUUCCUGUUGCUGCCACAGCAAAUCCCCACAGGCUUGGUGGCCUCGAAGGACCAAAAUGUAUUCUCUCACAGUUCUAGAGACCUAGAAGUAUGACACUGACUGCAUUCGUGGGGCCAGGUUCCUCACAGAGGCUCCAGAGGAGAAGUGGUUCCUCGGCUCCUCCCUGCUUUAGGUGCCUCUAAGCAUUUCUUGGCUUGUGUCUUCAUCACUCCAAUCUCUGCCUUCAUUGUCACGUCAUCUCUUCCUCUUCUGUCUGUUAAAUUUCCCCUCUGUGUCUUUUAUAAGGGCACAUGUCAUUAGAUUUAGGGUCUGCUCAGAUAAUCCAGGAUGACCUCAUCUCUAGCUUAAGCAAAGUAUAUCUGGAAGGUUGAUUUUCCCAAAUAAGAUCAUAUGCAUGUUCCAGGGAUAGGCAGGUGGACAUAUCCAUUAGGUGCCACCACUAAGCCCACUACAACCCUCUAGUCUCCCCUAUUAAAUUAUUUAUUCAAUAAAUUGUAUUGAGCCCUACAAUAUUUCAGGCAUUAUUUUAUGUAGGGAUAAAUCCACGAACAAUACAGACAAGAUCUCUGCCCUGACAGAGCUUAUAUUUUACAAUCUUUCCCCCUACCCUGUUUGUUUUUCCCAUCCAUUCAGAUAUACACAUUUUCUUAGAAUCUGCAGUGUACAAUUGAUAUUCAAAACACACAUGACUCUUGGAAAUCUAGUUAAAUCCUAGCAUGUGUGCAGGUUGGGGAAACAGGAGACAUGCAUGAAAAGUUUCUUUUCAAGUUUUCAGAAGAACAAGAGAAGAGAAAAGCAUAGAUGUGCAAAUUUUAUAAAUUCAUUUUACAAUGUAAUUGAAAUGCCAAAAGACUGAAGAAUUCAAUGUUGAUGAAGAAACGGAUAUUAGUGCAAUGAAGAACAGCUCUGUCUUCGUCAGCCGGCCGUCUUUUAUAUGUCACAGGCUGUCACUUUCUAUUGCGUUUCAACUGACUAAUUACCUCAGUUUAUUAAAACUGAAUAUGAAUUCACAUAUUUUACCUUCCAUGCCUUCAAGUGCUCCUGUUAUCAAGAGCUAUUACCUAACCGUAUAUCCCACUGUUCUAGGAUUUGUCAGGUAAGGAAGUGAGUGGACCAAUCUUGACGGGUGUCAAUAAACCCUGGACAGCCAAAGUCAAGGGGAAUUGAUCUGCUGGCCAUUGCGCAUGAUUGCAGGUGUUUGUCAGAGGUAGGGUGGCAGAUUGGGCCAGCAUAAAUGAAAACUGCACUAUGCCUCUAAUGGAGAGAUACUUUCUGAUUAGAGGUAAUGAUGACCAGAGGUAAUCAAAGGAAGGGACCAUAAAUUAAUUACGCUGCCAUGUCUGAGAGCUACCUCACCUGCAAAUUAUGCACUUAUAUUUUAAAAGUCCGUUGAGUCUUGGUGAGGUAGAGGGAUGGUUCUUAGUGGUGGCAAUGUUUUGUGUGUGUCUUGAGGCAGGGCCAGGUAUUGUUGUUUCAUUUUUAAUCUAGAACUAUCUUGGAGUGCACUUACAGGUGUGAUGGAUGUAGUCAUGUUAGAUGAGAUCCCAGCCAACCUCAGAUGAAAAAGCAAAUUUCAUCCUUUCAAAAUUAUAUCUGUGGGACUACGGAUUUUAGGAGUGCCAUCGUCAGAAAAGAAGAUUCUAGAAAUGAGCAACUAGGACUCUGAUCUAGUGGUUGCAGUAGCCAUUCAAAUUUCAUUUGGAUUAUACCUAAUAACAUAACAUGCUGGAAAGAAGCCAAGGCAGCACUUAUCACUUUCAAAAGGAAUGCUGAAUCUAGACUUUCAAAGCGCGACCUUCUGAAGACAUGGUCAUUUUUUGGCCAGACAGGCAAUGUGGUAGGUGGAUGAUGGGGAAUUCUCAGUGACAUUUUCAUAAAUUACCAGAGGUAGUGAAUAUUCGUGGAAAAAAAAAAACACAAACAAUACUUUGGGAAGUUAUGUAGAUGUGGGGAGCCUGCAAAGAACAAAAAUACCCGGUCACAGAGGAAAAUGCCACUUAUCCUCAGCUCUAGUUACAAAUGCAAGAACAGAAGACAGGAAAGGGAAGGGGCUUGUUUUUUCCUUAGCAGAUUCAAAUUGUUUGUUAAGAAAGGCAGUUAUUGUAUAAUUUUCCAUGGUCACUCAUGCUAUCUUGCUCCAAUCAGAAUGCACCUAUAUUUCAAAGACUGGGGGGCAAACAGUCAUUAGGCUGAAGGUGCAGCCCAGCCCUCUGGCCAGCAGUGUGACCUGGCCAUUUGUUGCCCCAAGUCAAAGCCAUCUCCAGAGCCUCCAUGUGCCUUCCAGGCCUAUUCAUUCAGUCACAAGGCAGCAGCCCUUGGGCUGUACUUGCUCUGGGCACUGUGUUCCUAACAAAAUAAACCAGUGUUUCAAAAAUCAGGAUAUUUGCCCAUAACAGUCUGGCUUU